CAUGAAGCUUACUGUUGGGAAUGUGUGGCAAAUUGUAUAUUUCUAUGCGGGUAGGUCCGAAUUGGACCAUGUUCCCCAAUUAUAUCCAUAAUGUACUGUGUAUUUUUAUGUUGUUAUAUGUUUAUUAUUUGGCAAAGUGCAAUAAAAAUAGCGAUUAUUUAUUCGAAAAACGUUUAAAUAUGCAAAAACAAGAAAUGUGUCUUGCUCAAGGGGUGGAUCACUUGUUCAGUGCACAUCAGAUGUACAUCGAUUUGCAUCAAAUGCAUUUUAUUGGUAUUCACAUCAACUUAGCACAGGCCCAUACCAUUGUAUAGUGCUAUAGCAACACGUCAUUGUUUGUUGUGAUUGUUUUGAAAUUGUUGUAUUCGAUAAUCAAGCUUUUUUAAAACCGGGAAAUAAAAUCAGUUCAAAAUCCGGACGAUGCUAGACAUGAAGAUCAAGCAUGUAUCAGAAGGACUUUUUCUUCAAGAACGGCCCAUGCGUACAUUGUAGAGAAAAGAUAAAUUGCCAGGUGACAGGAAUACACUGUUGCACUGAGGACUAAUCAGAAGUACUCGGAACCAUCUUCCCAAGAAACCUAUUUACCAGUGGCAAAAAGAAUCUGCAUAGAUUCGCUAAUUAAUAAUAAAAAAAAAAACAAACAAUUGCAUUUUUUGUCCCUUAUCUUAUUUCCAACAAUGUCGGUUGGGGACAAUUAAAGAACGAUGAGCUCUUUAAAUUGAUAUUCUCCCUCUUAAGUAUUGCUUCCGGUUUUCCUUGCAGAAUGUACAUUUCUAAGAAGAAGCGUUUAAUUACCGCAAUAUUUGGA